rnacentral:rRNA from 1 species
AUUGAACGCUGGCGGCAGGCCUAACACAUGCAAGUCGAGCGGAUGAAGGGAGCUUGCUCCUGGAUUCAGCGGCGGACGGGUGAGUAAUGCCUAGGAAUCUGCCUGGUAGUGGGGGAUAACGUCCGGAAACGGGCGCUAAUACCGCAUACGUCUUGAGGGAGAACGUGGGGGAUCUUCGGACCUCACGCUAUCAGAUGAGCCUAGGUCGGAUUAGCUAGUUGGUGGGGUAAAGGCCUACCAAGGCGACGAUCCGUAACUGGUCUGAGAGGAUGAUCAGUCACACUGGAACUGAGACACGGUCCAGACUCCUACGGGAGGCAGCAGUGGGGAAUAUUGGACAAUGGGCGAAAGCCUGAUCCAGCCAUACCGCGUGUGUGAAGAAGGUCUUCGGAUUGUAAAGCACUUUAAGUUGGGAAGAAGGGCAGUAAGUUAAUACCUUGCUGUUUUGACGUUACCAACAGAAUAAGCACCGGCUAACUUCGUG